rnacentral:lncRNA from 1 species
UACUAAAUAAUAAUACAUUCGAACUUAAUUUACAUACAUCAAAGUUUACUUCCCCAGGUACGUGACCUUCAAAUACAUUCCUUACAAUACCUGACAAUAGAUUCCAUUGUCUUACUAACUAUAACCAUUAACUCAUAAUAUAAACUCAUUCGAACAACUUUCCUUUCCCCUUGUUCGUGCCUGAUCCUUCAGGUUGAUCGUACGGAACUGAAAAACAUUUAGUUUAAGCAAGGAUGAGCAUUUGAGUGCCCAACAAGUAAUAGCAAUUAUAUAUAUAAGCUGAAAGAAUAUAAGUAUUCUCUUUACAUAACACUUCUACAACGAAUCGAAAGUUGUGAAGUAAUCUGUACUGAUAAAAAAAUUCACAUAACAACUCUCUUUCAAUUUCUUGAAAUUAGGUUCCACCCAUGAAUAGGGUUUAAGAAACAUACUAUGAACAUUCUUUUUCAUUUUCGAAAAGGUUUAGCAGAAAUUCAUCCGCAAACCGCUCUAGCUUACGGGUACGGAGGGUGAUCAGCCCCGUUGUACCCUGUAUUGAUCAAUACUACAUAACUUGAAUGAAAUUCAUCGCUCACUCUGUCCGCCUUGGGCGCAAAAAUCUUCCCAUAUAGGGAUGUUCAUACAUGCCUGGUUCCAAACCCGAAGGUUUUUAAUCCUGCUCAACAAUAAUAUUUAUAAUUCAACAUAUAUGUAUACGGGUAAUUGACAAAGGUAUAUCAAAAUGUGAAUAAAUGCCAUGAUUAUCCAAGUGGGGACACUUGUAUAACCAUUUAGAAAUCAACUUAACAGAAUAUAUAUCUGAGCUAACAUGUUGAUAAUCAAAGCGUACAUAAUCUGUACAGGAAUAGAAUAAUUCUGAAACUUCUUACUCAUGUCCAUUGCAU